rnacentral:rRNA from 1 species
UUAAGCGACUAAGCGUACACGGUGGAUGCCCUGGCAGUCAGAGGCGAUGAAGGACGUGCUAAUCUGCGAAAAGCGUCGGUAAGGUGAUAUGAACCGUUAUAGCCGGCGAUGUCCGAAUGGGGAAACCCAGUGCAAUUCGUUGCACUAUCGUUAACUGAAUACAUAGGUUAACGAGGCGAACCGGGGGAACUGAAACAUCUAAGUACCCCGAGGAAAAGAAAUCAACCGAGAUUCUCCCAGUAGCGGCGAGCGAACGGGGAGCAGCCCAGAGUCUGAAUCAGCUUGUGUGUUAGUGGAACGGUCUGGAAAGUCCGACGGUACAGGGUGAUAGUCCCGUACACCAAAAUGCACAGGCUGUGAACUCGAAGAGUAGGGCGGGACACGUGGUAUCCUGUCUGAAUAUGGGGGGACCAUCCUCCAAGGCUAAAUACUCCUGACUGACCGAUAGUGAACCAGUACCGUGAGGGAAAGGCGAAAAGAACCCCGGCGAGGGGAGUGAAAAAGAACCUGAAACCGUGUACGUACAAGCAGUGGGAGCACCUUCGGGUGUGACUGCGUACCUUUUGUAUAAUGGGUCAGCGACUUAUAUUCUGUAGCAAGGUUAACCGUAUAGGGGAGCCGCAGGGAAACCGAGUCUUAACUGGGCGUUAAGUUGCAGGGUAUAGACCCGAAACCCGGUGAUCUAGCCAUGGGCAGGUUGAAGGUUGGGUAACACUAACUGGAGGACCGAACCGACUAAUGUUGAAAAAUUAGCGGAUGACUUGUGGCUGGGGGUGAAAGGCCAAUCAAACCGGGAGAUAGCUGGUUCUCCCCGAAAGCUAUUUAGGUAGCGCCUCGUGAANUCAUCUUCGGGGGUAGAGCACUGUUUCGGCUAGGGGGUCAUCCCGACUUACCAACCCGAUGCAAACUACGAAUACCGAAGAAUGUUAUCACGGGAGACACACGGCGGGUGCUAACGUCCGUCGUGAAGAGGGAAACAACCCAGACCGCCAGCUAAGGUCCCAAAGUCAUGGUUAAGUGGGAAACGAUGUGGGAAGGCACAGACAGCCAGGAUGUUGGCUUAGAAGCAGCCAUCAUUUAAAGAAAGCGUAAUAGCUCACUGGUCGAGUCGGCCUGCGCGGAAGAUGUAACGGGGCUAAACCAUGCACCGAAGCUGCGGCAGCGACACUAUGUGUUGUUGGGUAGGGGAGCGUUCUGUAAGCCUGCGAAGGUGUGCUGUGAGGCAUGCUGGAGGUAUCAGAAGUGCGAAUGCUGACAUAAGUAACGAUAAAGCGGGUGAAAAGCCCGCUCGCCGGAAGACCAAGGGUUCCUGUCCAACGUUAAUCGGGGCAGGGUGAGUCGACCCCUAAGGCGAGGCCGAAAGGCGUAGUCGAUGGGAAACAGGUUAAUAUUCCUGUACUUGGUGUUACUGCGAAGGGGGGACGGAGAAGGCUAUGUUAGCCGGGCGACGGUUGUCCCGGUUUAAGCAUGUAGGCUGNNNNNNNNNNNNNNNNNNNNNNNNNNNNNNNNNNUUGUCCAGGCAAAUCCGGAUAAUCAAGGCUGAGGUGUGAUGACGAGGCACUACGGUGCUGAAGUAACAAAUGCCCUGCUUCCAGGAAAAGCCUCUAAGCAUCAGGUAACAUCAAAUCGUACCCCAAACCGACACAGGUGGUCAGGUAGAGAAUACCAAGGCGCUUGAGAGAACUCGGGUGAAGGAACUAGGCAAAAUGGUGCCGUAACUUCGGGAGAAGGCACGCUGGUGUGUAGGUGAAGUCCCUGCGGAUGGAGCUGAGACCAGUCGAAGAUACCAGCUGGCUGCAACUGUUUAUUAAAAACACAGCACUGUGCAAACACGAAAGUGGACGUAUACGGUGUGACGCCUGCCCGGUGCCGGAAGGUUAAUUGAUGGGGUUAUCCGUAAGGAGAAGCUCUUGAUCGAAGCCCCGGUAAACGGCGGCCGUAACUAUAACGGUCCUAAGGUAGCGAAAUUCCUUGUCGGGUAAGUUCCGACCUGCACGAAUGGCGUAAUGAUGGCCAGGCUGUCUCCACCCGAGACUCAGUGAAAUUGAACUCGCUGUGAAGAUGCAGUGUACCCGCGGCAAGACGGAAAGACCCCGUGAACCUUUACUAUAGCUUGACACUGAACAUUGAGCCUUGAUGUGUAGGAUAGGUGGGAGGCUUUGAAGCGUGGACGCCAGUCUGCGUGGAGCCAACCUUGAAAUACCACCCUUUAAUGUUUGAUGUUCUAACGUUGGCCCCUUACCGGGGUUGCGGACAGUGUCUGGUGGGUAGUUUGACUGGGGCGGUCUCCUCCCAAAGCGUAACGGAGGAGCACGAAGGUUAGCUAAUCCUGGUCGGACAUCAGGAGGUUAGUGCAAUGGCAUAAGCUAGCUUGACUGCGAGCGUGACGGCGCGAGCAGGUGCGAAAGCAGGUCAUAGUGAUCCGGUGGUUCUGAAUGGAAGGGCCAUCGCUCAACGGAUAAAAGGUACUCCGGGGAUAACAGGCUGAUACCGCCCAAGAGUUCAUAUCGACGGCGGUGUUUGGCACCUCGAUGUCGGCUCAUCACAUCCUGGGGCUGAAGUAGGUCCCAAGGGUAUGGCUGUUCGCCAUUUAAAGUGGUACGCGAGCUGGGUUUAGAACGUCGUGAGACAGUUCGGUCCCUAUCUGCCGUGGGCGCUGGAGAAUUGAGGGGGGCUGCUCCUAGUACGAGAGGACCGGAGUGGACGCAUCACUGGUGUUCGGGUUGUCAUGCCAAUGGCACUGCCCGGUAGCUAAAUGCGGAAGAGAUAAGUGCUGAAAGCAUCUAAGCACGAAACUUGCCCCGAGAUGAGUUCUCCCUGAGACU